rnacentral:rRNA from 1 species
CCUACGGGAGGCAGCAGUGGGGAAUAUUGGACAAUGGGGGGAACCCUGAUCCAGCCAUGCCGCGUGUGUGAAGAAGGCCCUCGGGUUGUAAAGCACUUUCAGUGAGGAAGAACGCCUGGUGGUUAAUACCCAUCAGGAAAGACAUCACUCACAGAAGAAGCACCGGCUAACUCCGUGCCAGCAGCCGCGGUAAUACGGAGGGUGCGAGCGUUAAUCGGAAUUACUGGGCGUAAAGCGCGCGUAGGUGGCUUGAUAAGCCGGUUGUGAAAGCCCCGGGCUCAACCUGGGAACGGCAUCCGGAACUGUCAAGCUAGAGUGCAGGAGAGGAAGGUAGAAUUCCCGGUGUAGCGGUGAAAUGCGUAGAGAUCGGGAGGAAUACCAGUGGCGAAGGCGGCCUUCUGGACUGACACUGACACUGAGGUGCGAAAGCGUGGUUAGCAAACAGGAUUAGAUACCCCAGUAGUC